rnacentral:sRNA from 1 species
GGGAGCUCUCCCAUAUGGUCGACCUGCAGGCGGCCGCACUAGUGAUUGGCGGCGCGCCUCCCGGGGCGUGCCCGCCGGCAUUAUCAGAAUCUCUGUUCGAACCCGACGAUACAUCUGAGUGUUCUAAGCGAACUGUUAAAACUUUCAACAACGGAUCUCUUGGCUCCAGCAUCGAUGAAGAACGCAGCGAAACGCGAUAUGUAAUGUGAAUUGCAGAAUUCAGUGAAUCAUCGAAUCUUUGAACGCACAUGGCGCCUUCCAGUAUCCUGGGAGGCAUGCCUGUCCGAGCGUCGUUUCAACCCUCGAGCCCCCGUGGCCCGGUGUUGGGGAUCUGCCCAGGCAGUCCCCGAAAACCAGUGGCGGACCCGUUGGGCCCUUCCUUUGCGUAGUAACAUCUGCCUCGCAUCGGGAGCCUGCGGGCUAUCCGGCCUCUAAACCCCCCUCAAGCCCGCUCCGGCGGCACCAAGGUUGACCUCGGAUCAGGUAGGAAUACCCGCUGAACUUAAGCAUAUCAAUAAGCGGAGGAAAAGAAACCAACAGGGAUUGCCUCAGUAACGGCGAGUGAAGCGGCAACAGCUCAAAUUUGAAAUCUGGCUCCUUCGGGGCCCGAGUUGUAAUUUGCAGAGGAUGCUUCGGGUACGGGUUCCUUCCGAGUUCCCUGGAACGGGACGCCAUAGAGGGUGAGAGCCCCGUCUGGUAGGACACCCAGCCCGUGUGAAGCUCCCUCGACGAGUCGAGUUGUUUGGGAAU